rnacentral:misc_RNA from 1 species
AGAGAUAUACAAUUAACUCAUACUAAUAGAUAUAAUACAUAUGACAAGUUCCCCAUCAAAAGUCUCCAAUCAAUGGACAAUUGACAAUUACCGCUCUCUGGAAUUUCAGUUCCUCCUAAUUUCACAUGGGGAGAUCUAACUUUGAACUACAGUACUGAUAUGUCGAGAGAUGUCUCAUGGACCACAUCGAUCGAGACUUGCGCGUUCGAGGGAUGCUGGCCAUAUUCUUCUGAUGUUUCAACCCCUGACACGCCAAUCCCGUAGUCUAUGUCGCGAUUAAGGGCUCGCGAUUAGGGACUCGAGGAUCGCGGUAGACCGUAGACGACCAUGCGGUGUCGUAGCCCACGUAGUUAGACGGUUUCGUACCCUUUAUUUUUCAACUAUUUCCGUUCUUCGGAUCGCCGCCGCUGCUGAAUCCUUUCUUUUAGUUUAAGCCUUUCGUUCCACCUGGCAAACAAAUCGGGGAGAUAAAAAUUAAAGGAAACUCGAGGAAAUUACGUCUGCCUAAGAUUUCUUGAAAAUUGCAAGAGCGAAUUUUAUUCGUCGUUACGAAGUAACGAGUUAAACAAUGACUCAUUUUCGCGGAUUCUAUAUACCAACCUUGGGAGCAACAUUUAACGUUGCCUGGGAAACAUUGAAAGCUAAAUGGCCAGAGAACAGCCCCUGUAUGGAGCUUAUCCGCGGCAGUGGUCCAGAUCAAAAACAAGCACCGGGACAAAGUGGACAUGCACAGUUCAAAUCGUUCGACGAAGGCCAUGAUAAUACGGAAAUGAUGACUAUGAAUGGAGAUCAAGCAUAUCGGGACCAGAAUAACGUAGCCAUCGCUGAGGAUUCCUUCAGCUAUCAAAGAAACGGGGACAAAAUUAGAACGGGAAGUGUAAGUAGCGGUGAAUUUAGCGAAUAUGACGAAGGUGGCGGCGAAUUUGGUUCAGGAGUAAAAAUCAAUGAAUGGCAGGCUGCGUGGAAUGUUACAAAUGCUAUACAGGGUAUGUUUAUCGUGUCAUUGCCGUUCGCUGUAUUACGAGGCGGUUACUGGGCUAUCGCUGCAAUGAUCGGUAUUGCGCAUAUCUGUUGUUACACCGGCAAGAUACUCGUCGAAUGUUUGUACGAACUUGACACGACAACUGGACAACGCGUACGCGUACGAGACUCGUAUGUGGCAAUCGCGAAAGAAUGUUUCGGACCUACCUGGGGUGCCAGAGCGGUGAAUAUCGCGCAGAUCAUCGAGUUGCUAAUGACUUGUAUCCUAUACGUGGUCGUAUGCGGUGAUCUCAUGAUAGGAACUUUCCCGGAAGGAGCAAUCGAUACUAGAAGUUGGAUGAUGCUAACUGGAAUAUUUUUACUGCCCCUCGGUUUCCUCAAGUCCCUGCAACACGUCUCGGUGCUCAGCUUUUGGUGCACGAUGUCCCAUUUGUUCAUAAACGCCAUCAUCGUCGGUUAUUGCCUUUUAGAGAUCGGUGAUUGGGGUUGGUCCAAAGUGAAAUGGACGAUCGAUCUGGAGAAUUUCCCGAUCUCUCUUGGCGUGAUCGUGUUCAGCUAUACCUCGCAAAUAUUUCUACCCACGCUGGAGGGCAAUCUGAUCGAUCGUUCGAAGUUCGAUUGGAUGUUGAAUUGGAGUCACAUCGCGGCCGCCGCGUUUAAGUCGCUCUUCGGUUGGAUAUGUUUUCUAACAUUCCAAAACGAUACGCAACAAGUGAUCACGAAUAAUUUACACUCGGCCGGUUUCAAAGGUCUGGUGAAUUUCUGCUUGGUCGUCAAGGCCAUGCUAUCGUAUCCACUACCAUAUUACGCGGCCUGCGAGCUCCUCGAGCGGGCAUUCUUCAGAGGUAAACCGAAAACCUAUUUUCCAACGAUAUGGACCGUGGAUCGCGAAUUGAAAGUUUGGGGUCUGGCGUGGAGAAUUGGCGUGAUCGUUUUCACCAUUCUUAUGGCAAUAUUUAUACCCCAUUUCAGUAUCCUUAUGGGUUUCAUAGGUUCCUUCACCGGUACCAUGUUGUCGUUUAUAUGGCCCUGUUACUUUCAUCUGAAACUGAAGAGAAAUUCCAUGGAAUGGAGCGCGGUCGCCUACGAUUGCUUCGUGAUUUUUCUCGGAGUUCUUUUCGGUGUGAUCGGUGUAUACGAUUCAGGCUCUGCCUUGAUCAAUGCCUUUGAGAUAGGUUUACCGUUUUGAACGAGCGCUCGUGAACGUUAUUCAUCACUCUUCGAUCUUCGCUCGCCUCUUUUACGGAAGAAUGAUAUUACACGUGUAGAUACAUUAAUGCUUAAGGGAACCAUCGAAUUAUAGCUUGCGUCAAUUGAUUCUUAGCGUUACGUUGAAACGGUGAUUUCAUUAAUAUUCAAUCAUUAUCUGUAAUUA